rnacentral:lncRNA from 1 species
GCUCUCCUAUCCCAUAGUGUGCCCUCCUAGCCCCACUGCGCUGGCCCUCAUACGCUGCAUCAAGGGCCAGUCCUAAAGUUUCUACUCUGACCUUUAUGGCAUGCAGUUCAAUCUUUAAUUGGCCCACCAGCUCAUCCGACUCAUGGAGUGCCUCUUCCACCUAUAUCUUAUCGGCAAUUUCUACAUCAAACUCAGCCUGCAUCUCCAGAUGCUUUAUGCUCAGCUCUCCAAACUUUGCCUUUUCAUUCUCUAGCUGUACCCUCAGCAUCUCAACUUGCAACUGGGACUCAUCCAAU